rnacentral:lncRNA from 1 species
AUUUGGUACCUCAGUUUCGACUCAACAUUUCAUUUUGAAUUGUUAGAUGGCAAACUCUUUAGGCGAAUAUUGUAUCUGUUCUUUAUUUAAUUAUGGUGAUAUUGGCGAUAAUAUUCAUUAUAACAAGGCCUUGUACAAAUCCUUGAUUAUAGAAUGUUUGGCAAUUGAAAAAGACGAAAGUAGACAAACCCUAAUUAUGCAGGGUUUCACAAGUUGAUCUCCAAGCGGCC